UGGGGAAUAUUGCACAAUGGGCGCAAGCCUGAUGCAGCAACGCCGCGUGAGGGACGACGGCCUUCGGGUUGUAAACCUCUUUUAGUAGGGAAGAAGCGAAAGUGACGGUACCUGCAGAAAAAAGCACCGGCUAACUACGUGCCAGCAGCCGCGGUAAUACGUAGGGUGCGAGCGUUGUCCGGAAUUAUUGGGCGUAAAGAGCUCGUAGGCGGUCUGUCGCGUCUGCUGUGAAAACCCGAGGCUCAACCUCGGGCCUGCAGUGGGUACGGGCAGACUAGAGUGCGGUAGGGGAGAAUGGAAUUCCUGGUGUAGCGGUGGAAUGCGCAGAUAUCAGGAGGAACACCGAUGGCGAAGGCAGUUCUCUGGGCCGUAACUGACGCUGAGGAGCGAAAGCGUGGGGAGCGAACAGGAUUAGAUACCCUGGUAGUCCACGCCGUAAACGUUGGGCGCUAGAUGUGGGGACCAUUCCACGGUUUCCGUGUCGCAGCUAACGCAUUAAGCGCCCCGCCUGGGGAGUACGGCCGCAAGG
rnacentral:rRNA from 1 species